rnacentral:lncRNA from 1 species
CCGUUUCUAUCUAUUUUCUUUUGUGCCCAAUGCAAUAAGUUUUAUUUGGUUCAAUUAGAAUUAAGUACUAGUAGGAUUAUGAGGGGAUUGUGACACCCCUUUUUUAACCGAAAAGAAUUCGUUUAAAGUUCGAAAGGGUUUUUUAUUAUUGAGUGACAAAAGAUGAAAAUUUGUUUCGAAAAAGGAUUAUUUAUAUUUAAACUCAGAGUUGCCACUUGACAUAAUUCGGUGUGCCAAGUCACCUUUGGAAAAUCCUUUUCGAAAUGAUUUGACUCUUUAAAAAAAUUGGUUUGCGAACAGAGAUUCCGGCUAAGGAAUUCUGUUGACCGAGGGGAAGGUGUUAGGCACCCCUCGAUCCCGUGGUUCGACCACGGUCGCUUGGUGAACAUAUCGUCUAAUUUGACAUUACAAAUAUAUAAACCACAUAAAACACAUAAACAGAAAUCCAAACACACGGAACAAAAUAAAUCCAAAAUAUAGUGUUCAGUCCAAUUAUACAAUCCAAAAUAAAUAAAAAUGCGAAAAUAAAUUCUAUCUAACUUACACUAAUCCUAACUACGCUCCCGUGCAUUACGCGAUGCCUCGGACCUUCAUCACAAACAUCUUCCGCCAACAUAAUACGUCGGGGCAUUCCCCGGUGAAUAAAUAUAACGCGUCUCGGGGCAUUCCCCGACUAAACGAAUACAUUUUUCAAAUGCGAGAAAGAUAAACCAUUCCUCAAAUAUUCCAAACACUCAAACAAUCCAUAAGUUCUAAAUUUGCCUACCCAAGCCUACUAUUUGCCUACGCUUUCGCCGGUCUUAUCAUGAUACUACCGAAUUCAUCUACAUCAUCAAUACAUCAAAAUUAAUCAAUAUUCACUUUUAUUAAUGUCUCAAUUCCCGCCCCAAAUUCAACUCAAGGUUCCAAUGUAACAAUUCACAAUUACUUUUAACAAUCCAUAACCAAUAUCAAUGACAUCAAAUGACAAAUCAAAAUCACCAAAACACUCAUAUCAUAUCAUGCUUCACACAUAUCAAACACGUAUAAUGAAAUAGAAAUGAGAAGAGAUAGAAUUGGACCUCCAAUCACGCUUUCAAAAUCAAUGUAUUAUUCUGAUUAAAACCGAGAGAAUCCCCGUCCAAAACCUCGAAUCGAACCUAAAUCCGAAUCAACGCAAACUCGCCAACUCGAUCGAACCCAAAACCGAACAAUCCAAAACAACAAUCUCAAAAUCAAAACCCCCAAAAAUCCAAAUCGAAUCUGGACUAAGAACCAAUGUUUGCGACUUUGUUCAUAAUACUAUUCACGUCAACGGGGUUACGGGUUUAGUCGGCAAAAGGCGUGGUCAUUGGGCUGAACUGUUGCGACUUCAACAGGGCUCCGACAAGCCUCAACAGUGAUGGGGUGAUCGGAUUUUAUGAUUUUGAUGGAGAUGGAGCUGAUAUUUGUAUCAUCGGAGUUCCGGCGAGCUCCAAUAGUGACGGACACGGACAGACGGAGUAUGGUUCAGAUCUCAGGCAAAAAUGGUGGUUCCCGGCGAGAUUUCACAGGAACCAACACCCCCACUGUCGUUUCUCUCUUCUCUCUCACUUACACUCAGAUUUUUAUUGUUUUCCUCCCAACUUUAUCACACUCUCUCGCUCAAUCCUCUUUAUCCUUUUCUUUCUCUCUCGUUCAACUGUUCUCUCCCAUCUCUUUCGUGUUACUGUGUGCGUGAGUGUGUAUUCUUAAUUGUAUCCAUAUGGGGAAUUUCAGUGAGUGUAUUUGGUGAGGAUCAUUGAUUUCUCCUGAUGGAGAAGAUGAUUUCUGUGUGUAUGUGUUUUUGGGUCUUCUCUAGUAUUGAUGGAUGGUCUCGUAUUGUUACUGUGAGUCUCUAUACGUAUGAGAGUGUGUGUAUAUGAGUGGAAGGGAAAUUCCGUGUCUAUGGGUAUUGCCCUGAAUGGAUAGGAUCUUGUGUGCCUAUGUAUUAGGUGUUCACCCAUUCCCUGUGGGCCCUUUUUUAUUCCUUUUGUUCUGUUUUGGUUAAAAGGAACAAACAACAAAAAAAAAAAUGUGAGCGGGGGCUGCUUAGGGGUGAGGUUGGGUAGGGGUAGUGAGGUGGUUUAUUUUGAUUGGGUAGGUUGUUAGAAUGAGGUGUAAAGGGAGUUAGGAUAGGAUAAAAUUUGUUAGGUAGUUUGUUAGGGAGUUUGUUUUAAGUUGUUAUUUUUUUAUAUUUUUGUGGGGUAUAAUUACAUGGGUGAGGGUACACGGUAGGAUAAAGUAAAAAUGGGUAAAAACGAUAUCGGGAAGGGACGAAAUUAGGUGUCUACAAGGAUUGUUUUUUAUGAUCAAGAAUGUAAAAACAAAUUGUAAUGCCAACGCUAAGUUAAUCG